ensembl:lncRNA
GUUUAGUCAAUGAACCCACACAUACUUAUGUAGCAGUCCUCCACAUGGUGGCGUGGAGUACCUCUCUGGUGCCUUGGAGUACUGUGCUUCCUCCAUCCUAAAAUAAACAUAAAAGUUGGUGAACAAGUAAAUAUGGUAAAACCAAGUAAAUAUUGCAGCAAUUUCGAAGUUAAACAAGUAAUUCACAUACCUCCAGGGCUGCAAUCCACAGGGUGUUGUGGUGUAGAUGUGUCCUUGGGGUGGUAGGGGCCCACGCUGGAACGAUUUUCGCUCCUCUGGCGAUACACACGUGCAGUCUCUCACAUGUCUAGAAAAGUUUAAGGUUUUGUAACCCAGCAAAACAUAUUUUCAAAUUUUUAUUAUGUUUUCAAAUUCACCUGCAUGCUUCAUGAGCUUAUAAGGGACAGCCUCCCAGGUGUCUUCAGGUGGUGAACAAGUUCUGACAAACUUGUCAUGGCUGAAGGACUUCCUGCAGGUGAUGCUGUGUGGUGGCCAGUAGCAAACUCCCCCUUUGAGCCACAGGCGUGGAACUACUGCCACAAAGUCAUCCUCCUCUGGGAACAAAACUGCAGAAAAAUGUCAUGACCUGAAAGCAAUGUUUAGAAAAGAGGUUUAAAAAAACGGCACAGGCUAGCUAAGAAGAAUGUGGAUACACAAAGACACACAAGAUACAUCAGUAACGGAAUUAUAAAAGGUGGAGGUUUAGCUAGUCUAGCUAAAUGUUACUGCCAAGAGAAACAUUAUCCACAUGAUGUCAUUGUUUAAUACAAAACAGUCAUUACGUUCCCCAUAACUAUGUAGGUGACUCUGCGUUUAUAACAUUUUCAGUCCGAUGUCCAAAGAAAUCUUGAUCUUCGUUUGUUUCGGGAGUUCAUCAAAUUGUAGUAAAACAAUAUCAUAAUCCACAUGUAGUAUUGUCCAAUUCAGAGCAUACACUCACCUAAAGGAUUAUUAGGAACACCAUACUAAUACUGGGUUUGACCCCCUUUCGCCUUCAGAACUGCCUUAAUUCUACAUGGCAUUGAUUCAACAAGGUGCUGAAAGCAUUCUUUAGAAAUGUUGGCCCAUAUUGAUAGGAUAGCAUCUUGCAGUUGAUGGAGAUUUGUGGGAUGCACAUCCAGGGCACGAAGCUCCCGUUCCACCACAUCCCAAAGAUGCUCUAUUGGGUUGAGAUCUGGUGUCUGUGGGGACCAUUUCAGUAGAGUGAACUCAUUGUCAUGUUCAAGAAACCAAUUUGAAAUUAUUCAAGCUUUGUGACAUGGUGCAUUAUCCUGCUGGAAGUAGCCAUCAGAGGAUGGGUACACAGUGGUCAUAAAGGGAUGGACAUGGUCAGAAACAAUGCUCAGGUAGGCCGAGGCAUUUAAACGAUGCCCAAUUGGCACUAAGGGGCCUAAAGUGUGCCAAGAAAACAUCCCCCACACCAUUACACCACCACCACCAGCCUCCACAGGGAUAACAAGGCAUGAUGGAUCCAUGUUCUCAUUCUGUUUACACCAAAUUCUGACUCUACCAUCUGAAUGUCUCAACAGAAAUCCAGACUCAUCAGACUAGGCAACAUUCUUCCAGUCUUCAACUGUCCAAUUUUGGUGAGCUUGUGCAAAUUGUAGCCUCUUUUUCCUAUUUGUAGUGGCGAUGAGUGGUACCCGGUGGAGUCUUCUGCUGUUGUAGCCCAUCCGCCAAAGUCGCUCUUCUAUCAGCUUGAAUCAGUCGGCCCAUUCUCCUCUGACCUCUAGCAUCAACAAGGAAUUUUCUCCCACAGGACUGCCGCAUACUGGAUGUUUUUCCCUUUUCACACCAUUCUUUUGAAACCCUAGAAAUGGUUGUGUGUGAAAAUCCCAGUAACUGAGCAGAUUGUGAAAUACUCAGACCGGCCUGUCUGGCAUCAACAACCAUGCCAUGCUCAAAAUUGCUUAAAUCACCUUUCUUUCCCAUUCUGACAUUCAGUUUGGAGUUCAGGAGAUUGUCUUGACCAGGACCACACCCCUAAAUGCAUUGAAGCAACUGCCAUGUGAUUGGUUGAUUAUAUAAUUGCAUUAAUGAGAAAUUGAACAGGUGUUCCUAAUAAUCCUUUAGGUGAGUGUAUAUUUUGUGUGUCACACCUAUUAGAAGAUGCAAGUAGCCAGUCUACCUUUUAAUAAUGAUUACCGCACUGUAAUCAUAUUAACAAAUUGGAUUAUGUAUAUUAUCUCUUGAAUAAUGUUUAUUAAUUAGCACAUUGUUCAUGCAAACCACUAGUUACAUGAAUGGAUGUCCUGCAUCAACAUUAACAAAAUUACAGUACAAACUAUGUUCCUGCAAAAAACUUUGAUAAAAACUUUACUUGUUUUUUCACAUCAUGGAAAAGUCUGCCCAAGACACCAUUAUAAUGGCGUAUGGCUAACCAGUGGGGGUUUGAGGUGAAUCAUCAGUGACUCAGGAGUGUGAUUACCUUUAUGACUCCAUACUUCCUACUUGUAUUUCUGCCAUGCAUGCUCAAUAUGCUGAGUAUUAGCACCAGUCUCAUGAUCAGCAAAGUUCCUUUUAUGGCACACAGAAUACUGGCUAAAUAGUUUCUUCAAGUUUGUUAAUUAGGCACAUGUUUAUAACAGGUUAUGUUGUCUUGGUUACUGUCAUGUUGUCAUAACAAAGACAUCCCAAACAAUGUCAACCUUGCAUAAAAAUGACAUAAUCGACUGAAUGUGUCACGUCCCGGCUAUGCCCCUAGCCAUCUCUGCGCUGGGCUGGGGGCAUAGUCAGGACAGGACAGGAGGUGGCACCUCUAGCCACCUCCAAUCCUUUUAGUCUCCUCAAUUGGAGGCAGGUGAUGGUUGUUGCCUCCGAUUGGGGACCCUAUUUAUGUUCCCUGUUUUGCCAAAACCAGUGGUUUUGUUGUUCCUUCUGGAUAACCGAUGUCACUGAUUGCGGCGUUUGGUUUUGUUUGAGUCUUUCUUUUGAUUAAACAUGGAUGACUUCCACUAUUCAGUCUCUGCGCCUGUGUCCUACCGCUACCAUGACCGUGACAGAAUGAACCACCUACAAAAGACACGGCAGAGGUGGACGGUAGGGGAACUCCUUUGUUGGCCUGAUGGCGAGACAGAGGAGGAGGAGAACCCCUACCGUCCCCUGCUGCACCCCGGGCCAACCCAGCGUCGACCCCGGAGGAGACGUCAACAGAGGCGACUCAAUCAACCCUCUAACAGAAACAAUACCUAUUGUUUUUAGCAGUUGCUGGUGGAGUGUUUUUUUGCUG